UACGGAGGGGGCUAGCGUUGUUCGGAAUUACUGGGCGUAAAGCGCACGUAGGCGGCUUUGUAAGUUAGAGGUGAAAGCCUGGUGCUCAACACCAGAAUUUGCCUUUAAGACUGCAUCGCUUGAACGUCGGAGAGGUGAGUGGAAUUCCGAGUGUAGAGGUGAAAUUCGUAGAUAUUCGGAAGAACACCAGUGGCGAAGGCGGCUCACUGGACGACUGUUGACGCU
rnacentral:rRNA from 1 species